GAACGCUAGCGGCAGGCUUAACACAUGCAAGUCGAGGGACAGCACUUGUAGCAAUACAUGGUGGCGACCGGCGCAAGGGUGCGUAACGCGUGAGCAACAUGCCCGUAUCAGGGGGAUAAUCCAGGGAAACUUGGUCUAAUACCCCAUAGCAAUUAUUUGAGGCAUCUUAAAUAAUUUAAAGCUUUGGUGGAUACGGAUUGGCUCGCGUGACAUUAGCUAGAUGGUAAGGUAACGGCUUACCAUGGCUACGAUGUCUAGGGGUUCUGAGAGGAAGAUCCCCCACACUGGAACUGAGACACGGUCCAGACUCCUACGGGAGGCAGCAGUGAGGAAUAUUGGACAAUGGAUGGAAAUCUGAUCCAGCCAUGCCGCGUGCAGGAAGACGGCCCUAUGGGUUGUAAACUGCUUUUGUGUGGGAGCAAUAAGGUCUAUGCGUAGACUGAUGAGAGUACCAUACGAAUAAGCAUCGGCUAACUCCGUG
rnacentral:rRNA from 1 species